rnacentral:rRNA from 1 species
UACGUACCGUCCAAACGUUAUUCGGAAUUACUGGGCUUAAAGGGUACGUAGGCGGCGCUGUUAGUCGGGUGUGAAAUCCCUCGGCUCAACCGAGGAACCGCGCCCGAUACUGCAGUGCUUGAGGGAGACAGAGGUAAGCGGAACUGAUGGUGGAGCGGUGAAAUGCGUUGAUAUCAUCAGGAACACCGGUGGCGAAGGCGGCAUCCUGGACCGGUAUUGACGCUGAGGCGCGAAAGCCAGGGGAGCAAACGGG